AAAAGAGGUCAGAGAUAACCUCAAUUUCACUUCCACUUUCCAAAAGUUCUGUGCUUUUACUUGAUUGUUGAGAGCUAAAUUUUCAUUCCAAACCCUAGUUGUGUAGGAGACUGGGGAAUGCAUUGCUUUGUUCUCUAGACUCUGUAUAGGAAGGUCUCCUAGGAGGACAGUAGAAUAGAAAUGAAGCUGACCGAUCCACAGUGUCUGUCUUAAGUUGGUUAUGUUUUAUUUCUAAACCUCUUUGAAUUAUUUGAAUCUUCUCUGUAUUCUUUAAAAUUAUUGUUUUACAAAAUCAAUCUUAAACCCUAAGUUGACAAUUGUGAGAGGUAAAUAAUUCUCAAGUUUUGUUUAUACAUAAAUUGUUGCUUUUGAACCUGCCUUUUAUAUUUUGAACAUAUAUAGGAGACAAUGUAAUAUCAUAUAUACAAAGUAUAUAAAAUUAUAAAUAUUGUAAAAUAAUUUUUGACAUUUGCUUAUAAGUUAAUGGCCUAUUACCAGAACCAUCCUCUUUGUACACUGAUAUUUUGAAUUUUUUCCCUAGGUGCUUCAAUGAAAAAUUUUGAAGAAAUGUAUCUGAGACAUUCUGGCAUGGCCAUCAAGCAAACCGCACCACACAUCCAUCAAGGACACCUGCAGCUCCUUGGACCGUAGAGCACUUUUGUGCCAUACUCUGCACUUAGGCAGGCAGCACUCUCUUCUGCCCUAUUUCCACCCUUGCUUCUGAAGAUGCUCUGUGCCUUUUCUUUCAUGAAUUCCUGACUUUUAAGUCUGUCAUGUCCUGAUCUGGAUGCUAUGUAGGUCUUCCUCCUCAUUUUCUCAGGAGUGCUCUCAGCUUGGCCUUUCCUUAAUUAUCUUCCCCUUCUCUGGAUCAGAUCUUUAGGACUUCCCUAAUACUGGUUUUUUCCAGUCUCUGUGGUUUCCAACACUAAUGCCUUGUCUCCAUUUCUUUUUCUUUUUUUCUUUCUCCUUCAUUUCUUUAUGAAUAGUUCUCGUAGCAUUUUUAUACUAAAAUACAGUUCCAACAUUUCCAAAGAUGGCUUU
rnacentral:lncRNA from 12 species